rnacentral:rRNA from 1 species
UACAGAGGUGGCAAGCGUUGUUCGGAAUUACUGGGCGUAAAGGGCGCGUAGGCGGUCUUCUAAGUCUUGUGUGAAAUCCCUCGGCUCAACUGAGGAACUGCACGGGAUACUGGAAGACUUGAGUUCGGGAGAGGGAAGCGGAAUUCCGGGUGUAGCGGUGAAAUGCGUAGAUAUCUGGAGGAACACCGGUGGCGAAGGCGGCAUCCUGGACCGACACUGACACUGAGGAGCGAAAGCCAGGGGAGCAAACGGG